AAACUGCGAUAAGUAGUGUGAAUUGCAUUUAGUGAAUCAUCGAAUCUUUGAACGCACCUUGCACUCACUGGUAUUCCGGUGAGUACGCCUGUUUCAGUAUCAUUGAAAACACACAAUCAAAACAUUUUCUUUGGUUUGAUUGGCUUUGGGUCUAUUAAAAAGUUUGGCUUGUUUCUUACAAGCCAAGCGGCCUGAAAUAUAUUGUCUGGCUAAUUGCAUCGUUGAUGAUCGCUAUUAGACUUUGGCUUUUUUAAAUGAACUGGAGGUUGAUUAACCAGUUUUAGCUUUAGUCAAAUGGUAAUUGUAAAAAAAAUCUCGAUCUUGGCUAGGUGUUUAUAGCCGAAAAUGUUUUUUUGGCUAUAACCGAAACCAAUAUAAUCACAUUUAGUUAUCGAUCUGAAAUCAGGUGGGACUACCCGCUGAACUUAAGC
rnacentral:misc_RNA from 1 species